UGAGCAACAAUAUAAAUGCCUAUAUAAUGUCGUGAUUGGACGACCAGUUUCUACCUCAAGCCGUAAACUUGAGACUAUAGCGCAAAUUCGUGGGUGA
rnacentral:ncRNA from 2 species